GAUGAAGAACGUAGCGAAAUGCGAUAAGUAAUGUGAAUUGCAGAAUUCAGUGAAUCAUCGAAUCUUUGAACGCACAUUGCGCCCGCUGGUAUUCCGGCGGGCAUGCCUGUUCGAGCGUCAUUUCAACCCUCAAGCUCUCCGGAGUUUGGUGUUGGGGCGCCUGGGGCUUUUCGACCUCAGGGCCCUCAAGUCCAUCGGCGGGACCGCCAGGACACUGAGCGCAGUAGUAUUAUUUCGCUCGGUAGGAUCUUCCACGGCGGGUCGAUCUGGCCGCUAAACCCCCCAAUUCUCACCAAAGGUUGACCUCGGAUCAGGUAGGAAUACCCGCUGAACUUAAGCGUAUCAAUAAGCGGAGGA
rnacentral:misc_RNA from 1 species